rnacentral:rRNA from 1 species
UACGAAGGGGGCUAGCGUUGUUCGGAAUUACUGGGCGUAAAGCGCGCGCAGGCGGCUAUCCAAGUCAGUGGUGAAAGCCCGGAGCUCAACUCCGGAAUUGCCAUUGAAACUGUUUAGCUUGAGUACGAGAGAGGUGAGUGGAAUUCCCGGUGUAGAGGUGAAAUUCGUAGAUAUUGGGAAGAACACCGGUGGCGAAGGCGGCUCACUGGCUCGUUACUGACGCUCAGGCGCGACAGCGUGGGGAUCAAACAGG